UUCCCUUCUCCAGGGAAUCUUCCUGACCCAGGAAUCGAACUGGGGUCUCUUGCAUUGCAGGCAGAUUCUUUACCAGCUGAGCUACCAGGGAGGCACUAACUAGGGUUAGAUGCCCUAGUUUUUGGUUUUGUGUUCUUUUUUUUCACCCUGCUCAAAUAGUUCUCUUCAAUACCGAGAUAUGCAGGGUUAAACUUUCGUUCCUAUAGCCUUUGUUCUAUUCAGUACAAUAACGCCUUCUGUGAAUGGCCCAAGUGACUUCACUCUUACUUCCCUACGCAUAAAAUAAACAGGAUGCAGCCUACUUUAGGAAAACUUAUCACAAAAACCCCAAUCCUGGAAUCUGAGGUUCUUUCACCAGACAAGGAACUAAGCUGAGCGUGGACUUGGGUGAGAAGAUCAAGUGACAUUGAUGAGAAAGGAACGUCCUUUCCCUGCUUUUUCCCUGGAAGAAAAGCACUUUCUCCUACCUUGG
rnacentral:lncRNA from 1 species